rnacentral:rRNA from 1 species
GACGAACGCUGGCGGCGUGCCUAAUACAUGCAAGUAGAACGCACAGUUUAUACCGUAGCUUGCUACACCAUAGACUGUUAGUUGCGAACGGGUGAGUAACGCGUAGGUAACCUGCCUGGUAGCGGGGGAUAACUAUUGGAAACGAUAGCUAAUACCGCAUACUAUUUAUUAUUGCAUGAUAAUUAAUUGAAAGGUGCAAUUGCACCACUACCAGAUGGACCUGCGUUGUAUUAGCUAGUAGGUGAGGUAACGGCUCACCUAGGCGACGAUACAUAGCCGACCUGAGAGGGUGAUCGGCCACACUGGGACGGAGACACGGCCCAGACUCCUACGGGAGGCAGCAGUAGGGAAUCGUCGGCAAUGGACGAAAGUCUGACCGAGCAACGCCGCGUGAGGGAAGAAGGUGUUCGGGUCGUAAAGAUCUGUUGUAAGAGAAGAACGGGUGUGAGAGUGGAAAGUUCACACUGUGACGGUAUCUGACCAGAAAGGGACGGCUAACUACGUG